UUCUACAGCGCAUGCGUUUCGCCCACCCGGGCCCGGGCGCGGUUAGGGGUGACUCCCACGAUCCCUAGCGGCUGCGGAGUGGAAAAUGGCGGCCUCCUUGCCGCUUGGGUUACUGGAGCCCACCCGGCCUCGUGCUUUCUCCGGGCGCCUGUAGCUGGCGCCGGCAUCCACAAAAAUAGAUCAGCUUUCCGACUCCACUGGAUAGAGGAUGAAUAAAGAGGAAGCUCCAGGCUAUGAAGUGUCUAAUCCUUGCUCCCCUCAGAAGUUGGGACAUGUUGGACCAAGGUGGUAAGGAUAGUGAGGAACAGAAACCCAGACACCUGGGAGUGGGACGGCUUCAAGUUCCUGAAAGUUGAGCAGUUUAUUUGGAGGUAAAUCAGUGAUAUUUUAUAGAGGAAGUAGAGGAAUGUGUAUUCUGGAAAAGAGAGACAGAAAUCUGUCUUUUCAUCUUGGUUAAAUUUCUAAUUCUCCUGGGUGAGAGGGAAGCAGACUAAUUACCCAUCAUGCAGAGCCUAAUUAUAAAGUUCCCUGGGUCUCAGGUCACUGAAAAACAUCCCUUUACCUGGUUAGAGCCAAGAAAAAAUUCCUAGGUUUGAUGGAAAGACAGAAUCCAACUAAAAUUUGGCAACCCUGGGUCCCUAUUGUCUCCUAGGAAUUUUGUAGUGUUGGCAGAACAAAAGCUGUUUCCACAAAUGGGGAGGAAAGAGAUUAGGAAACACACUCAAGACAAACGAAAUGACUUUCUCCUUAAGUAUGACCUCUCAGAAGUGGUCUGACACAAUACGGUUAAUAGUAAGAUAAAUACAAAUUAAAACUACUGAUAUCAUGUUUUACUCUUAUUGUCCUGAGGCCAAAGAUUUAACAAUACACUGUGAUGCUGGGGCUGGGAGGAGAUUGCACCUUUAUAGCCCGGUGGUGGCAGUCCAGAGUGCAACCCCUAGAGAUGGCAACUUGACAAGACCUCUCAAAAAACACUACACACAGCUUUUGAGCCCCUCACCCCACUUCUGAGAGUAUGUCCUGUGGCAACAUGUGCACACAUGGAAAAUAAAGUCUGUACAAGGUGAGUUACUGCAGCAUUGUUCAUAAUAGCAAAAUACUGGAAAUGACUCAAAUACUCAUUAAUAGGGCACUAGCCAAGUAAAUUAUAGCACACUUACAUAAAGGAAUACUAGGCAGCUAUAACAGAGCUUACUCCUCAUUUUUUUUUUCUCUUAUGAAAUGGGAGUUUCGCUCUUGUCAUCCAGGCUGGAGUGCAAUGGCGCAGUCUCGGCUCACUACAACCUCCGCCUCCCAGGUUCAAGUGAUUCUCCUGCCUCAGCCUCCCAAGUAGCUGGGAUUACAGGCACCUGCUACCAUGCCCAGCUAAUUUUUGUAUUUUUAGUGGAGACGGGGUUUCAUCAUAUUGGCCAGGCUGGUCUCAAACUCCUGACCUCAGGUGAUCCACCCAUCUUGGCCUCCCAAAGCGCUGGGAUUACAGGCUUGAGCCACCGCGCCCAGCCUACUCCUCUUUUAUAUACUGGUAUUGGGAGUGUCAAAAAUGCAUUAAGUGAAAAAGUAAACUGCAAAACCGUAUAUGUGUGAAAGCAAGAAAAAAGUUAUGUUUUUAUAUGUGCUUAAGCCACAGUACAAGAAACAUUAACAACAGGAGCUUCUUGUGGGGGUAUUGGUCAGAUGGGAUGGGAUAAGGGUGAGACUUUUCAUUUUUUUUAUUUUUGAACCAUAUAAAUAUGCCACCUAUAAAAAUAAUAUAAAAGGUAAAUACUAGAAAGCAAAACAAAACAAAUGAGAGAGCAUACCUGGGCAACCCCUUCUUCCCAGCCUCGGAUCACCUCCUGCUUGCCUAGCAUAAACUUAAAGGGCUUGUUUCUGUCCCGGGAGGAAUCAAAUUUCUUUCCAUCUUCAAGCAUCCCUGUGAAAAAGGCCACUGUAACAUGAGCAACAGAGUAAUGACACAAGACAAGUCAGAAACCAGCAGCAGAGCACUCAUCAGAGAUGCCAGUGCUGAAGAGUCUGGCAGGAACUGCAGUAUCCAGGGAGGGUUUCCUGUGACCUCACUGGACAUCUAAGGAGUUGCAGUAGUCCUACUCCAGACCUGUGAAUGCUCUUCCCUGACUCCAGGCAAUAACCCAACUACAAAAGGACCCCGCGUACCAGAGAUGGGUGGCAGUCCACCUUCUUCUGGAGAUGGGGAGUAUAAACUUCCUCCUGCCCUGACUCUCCUAGCACCCCGUGGAUUUUCUCCCGAACUAAAAAUAACUGUGGUCCCUCGAGGUACACAGUGUCUAGAAGUCACACACAGUGCAAGAAGCAAUAUUCCUUCCCAAAAUCCCCCAUCAUCUUUCACAUAUAAUGUGUUCAUAUAUUGCUCCUCCAUUGUUCAGUGCAGGCAAAUCCCUCUCCACCAUCUACCACCCCCAUGGUCUCCUCUCUGGUUCACUAAUUGUGACCUACACACAUUGCUGCUCUCCAGGCUGUGGGUCAGCACUAUGGGAUGUGGUAAGAGGAAGCUAUAAGGCAAGCCUUCACCCUCAUUCUAGUGCCAAGUGUCUCACACCAACAGGGAACCUGGGACAUAAAGCUGGGCCCGUGUAGGCUGGUUCCUGAGUUGUCAUAAUUUUCCUGGGAAAAGUAAAAACCAACCUGGGCUGAAGUAGAGAAAUGAAAGAAAGAAUUUGUGCAGCAUUCAUCCCACUUAUUUUAACCAAUGCUGCCCCAGAAAACAACCCGUGCUCAUUUUUGCACAGCUAAUACUUUGUAACAGAGAUGACUGAAGAGAACAGGAAUACUAAGGAGGUUGAAGUGGUUGCCCUUGAAGAAUUAACUCAGUAAAUCCAGCCAACUGCUAGGAACUCUGUGGGCAGUGGUUCCACUCUGAGUUACUCUAAAUGGGCUAGGUGCUUUCCACACAUGAACGAAUUCAAUUCUUUCUCCACAGCACUAUCCCCAUUUCACAGAAGAAACUGAGGCAGACAGGGAGAAGUGAAGCAGCUUGCCAAGAUAGUAAAACUACGUUAUAAAUUAUAAACCCAAAUACCAUGCUCUUUCUACUAUCCCAGUUUCCCAGAAGCUGGACAAGCCACGACAGCGCCUUCCAAUAAAAGGGGAACUCCAGAGAUGCUAUGAGAAAAGAGGAACAGACAUCUGCAAUAGAUAUCUGCAACUUCCUUUUCAAAAACACCAUCGGCAUUGCUUUCUCAGGAAGCCACUGCCAGCCUAUUGUGAUAGCUGACACUGAGUUCCUGAAAAUUCUCUAAUUAGGAUCCCAGACUGGAGGGUCAGCCAGUGGUUAACAUAUAACGGACACAAAACUGAUUUUAUUGGAAGACUGAGGGUGGGCACUCACCAUGGUUCUAAGCAUUACUCAGAAGAUCCAUAAAAACAUUACAGUUCUGUUUUGUAAGAGUUUAGGAAAAAAAGAAAAUCCUGACAAAAAUCCCAACCUAAAAAAUAAUGUCAACACUUGUAAGUAGGAUGGGGAGGCAGAGAUGAAUUGGCACCGUUAUCACAGCUACUAGACUAUGUGGACUUUAACAAAAUAAGAAACAGGGGUGGGGGUUGGGUGGUGGUAUCUUAGCAGAGCAGGAGUAAAGACGGAUGUCCUGGGGCAGAAUGGGUACCAAUGCUGCCUGGAGCUGGGAGCUGAGGACUAAGAGGUAGACAGGAGGGUGGGGACCCGUCCCUGCUCCAAGGAACUGGUGCCCCAGAACUGGUAAGCUGGGGUAUGCAUUUAGCUCAUUCGUUUACCAGAAUGCAGUCACCACCUGAUGAAAGAAAUGACUAAUGGCAGGACUUGAACAGUUCUCUAUAAAUGAGUACCUGGCAGAAAAACAGGUCUCCAGGCUCCACAAUACCCACCAAACACACUGCCUUUAGCCCAUUUCAAGCUGCACUUCUUACAUGGAACCCAACCUAACCAACCUCAGAGGUAAGGGUGAGAGCAGAAAAUGAACAGCUAUGAUUCUCCAUUCCCUGGCCAGGCAGAGAGCCUUUCCAUCCACCCUUGUGAGACUGCUUGUAACAGAAAUAAGGAAACCAACUCCAAGGCUCAGUAACCCACCCAAGGUCAGAACCACUGAGUGGCAGGGCCUGUGAGCCACAAAGGAGACUGAAAACCAGAAAGAGCUUCUCUCUGGUCUGUUAUUUUAAGAAAAACAUGCCCAGAGGGGCCACCUGGAACCAAGGCUGUGGCACCCUUACCUUCCGCUCUAAUUAAACAACAACUUCCCAGGAGCAACAACAGCAACAAUAGCCUGGCCCAGCAGAUGAACUGGAAUCAAUCCAAGCCUUUCCCCUAUGCCAGGGCUGGUGUGGCGCAGGCAUACGGGUCAGUUUCAGCACUAACACCUACUUAGUUUGGGCACUACUUUACCUGCUGUGAAGUCUACUGGGAUCUUCCAGGAAAGUCCUACCUCAUUAGUAAAAAGAAAAAGACUCAGGAAGAAAGUUCCUGCUCUCCCUGUUGAAUGCUGUGUGAGGAUAAGAUGUUUGGAGCAUGGCAGUCACCCUGUGACUAUGAGAAGGCCAGGCAUACCACAAGGUGGUCAUUCCAGUGCUCUGAAUCAACCCCAAACCACUUCCCUCAAGAUUCAUAUUCUGAGGUGAUUAAAAGUGCUUUGAAGGUAAAUCUAUGGUGACAGUCAACAGAUCAGCGAUUGCCAGGAGUCAGGGGUAGAGGGAGGGAAGAACAGAUGGAGCACAGAGAAAUUUUGGGGCAGUGAAAAUGUUCUGUGUAAUACUAUAUAUAAUGGAUACAUGCCAUUAUACACUUGUCCAAACCCACAGAAUGUACACCACCAAGAGUGAACCCUAAUGUAAACUAUGGACUUUGGGUGAUCAUGAUGUGUCAAUGCACGUUUGUCAGUUGCAACACAUGUACCAUUCUAGUGGAGGGUGUUGAAAAUAGGAGGCCAUGCAUGUGUGGGACCAGGGGAUAUAUGGGAAAUCUCUGUACAUGCCUCUCAAUUUUGCUGAGAAUCUAAAACUGCUCUUAAUAAAGUCUUACAAAAAUAAAGAAGUCUGCUUUGCCUUA